rnacentral:rRNA from 1 species
GUCAGAUGAACGCUGGCGGCAUGCCUUACACAUGCAAGUCGAACGGCAGCACGGGAGCAAUCCUGGUGGCGAGUGGCGAACGGGUGAGUAAUACAUCGGAACGUGUCCUGUAGUGGGGGAUAGCCCGGCGAAAGCCGGAUUAAUACCGCAUACGCUCUACGGAGGAAAGGGGGGGAUCUUAGGACCUCCCGCUACAGGGGCGGCCGAUGGCAGAUUAGCUAGUUGGUGGGGUAAAGGCCUACCAAGGCGACGAUCUGUAGCUGGUCUGAGAGGACGACCAGCCACACUGGGACUGAGACACGGCCCAGACUCCUACGGGAGGCAGCAGUGGGGAAUUUUGGACAAUGGGGGAAACCCUGAUCCAGCAAUGCCGCGUGUGUGAAGAAGGCCUUCGGGUUGUAAAGCACUUUUGUCCGGAAAGAAAACCUCUGGGUUAAUACCCCGGGGGGAUGACGGUACCGGAAGAAUAAGCACCGGCUAACUACGUGCCAGCAGCCGCGGUAAUACGUAGGGUGCAAGCGUUAAUCGGAAUUACUGGGCGUAAAGCGUGCGCAGGCGGUCCGCUAAGACAGAUGUGAAAUCCCCGGGCUUAACCUGGGAACUGCAUUUGUGACUGGCGGGCUAGAGUAUGGCAGAGGGGGGUAGAAUUCCACGUGUAGCAGUGAAAUGCGUAGAGAUGUGGAGGAAUACCGAUGGCGAAGGCAGCCCCCUGGGCCAAUACUGACGCUCAUGCACGAAAGCGUGGGGAGCAAACAGGAUUAGAUACCCUGGUAGUCCACGCCCUAAACGAUGUCAACUAGUUGUCGGGUCUUCAUUGACUUGGUAACGUAGCUAACGCGUGAAGUGACCGCC